GUAGGUGGCACUGUAAGUUGGUAGUGAAAGCGUUCGGCUCAACCGAAUAAACAUUAUCAAAACUGCAGAGCUAGAGGAUGAGAGAGGUUAUUGGAAUUCCUAGUGUAGGAGUGAAAUCCGUAGAUAUUAGGAGGAACACCGAUGGCGUAGGCAGAUAACUGGCUCAUUCCUGACACUAAGGCACGAAAGCGUGGGUAGCAAACGGGAUUAGAUACCCCGGUAGUCCACGCUGUAAACGAUGGAUGCUAGCUGUAUUCGGUAUCGACCCCGGAUGUAGCGAAGCUAACGCGUUAAGCAUCCCGCCUGUGGAGUACGGUCGCAAGACUAAAACAUAAAGGAAUUGGCGGGGACCCGCACAAGCGGUGGAGCGUGUUGUUUAAUUCGAUGGUAAGCGAAGAACCUUACCCAGGCUUGACAUCCUUGGAAGCUCUACGAAAGUAGAGUGUGCUUUUAGAGCCAAGUGACAGGUGAUGCAUGGCCGUCGUCAGCUCGUGUCGUGAGAUGUUUGGUUAAGUCCAUCAACGAGCGCAACCCUUGUAGUUAGUUGAAUUUUUCUAGCUAGACUGCCCUGGUAACAGGGAGGAAGGAGGGGAUGAUGUCAGGUCAGUAUUUCCCUUACGUCUGGGGCUACAAACACGCUACAAUGGCCGGUACAAAGGGCAGCCAAGUCGCGAGACGGAGCAAAUCCCAUCAAAGCCGGUCCCAGUUCGGAUAGCAGGCUGAAACUCGCCUGCUUGAAGUCGGAAUCGCUAGUAACGGUAGGUCAGCUAUACUACCGUGAAUACGUUCCCGGGUCUUGUACACACCGCCCGUCAAACCAUGAAAGUCGCCAAUACCUGACGUGCUGCCUCGCGCAGCCCUAAGGUAGGGGAGAUGAUUGGGGUU
rnacentral:rRNA from 1 species